UGGGGAAUUUUCUGCAAUGGGCGAAAGCCUGACAGAGCAAUACCGCGUGAGGGAUGAAGGCCCGUGGGUCGUAAACCUCUUUUUUCAAGGAGGAAGUUCUGACGUGUACUUGAAGAAUAAGCAUCGGCUAACUCUGUGCCAGCAGCCGCGGUAAGACAGAGGAUGCAAGUGUUAUCCGGAAUUACUGGGCGUAAAGCGUCUGCAGGUGGUUUAUUAAGUCUGUUGUUAAAUCUUGAGGCUUAACCUUAAAAUGGCAAUGGAAACUAUUAGACUUGAGUAUGGUAGAGGUAAAAGGAAUUUCCAGUGGAGCGGUGAAAUGCGUAGAUAUUGGAAAGAACACCGAUGGCGAAGGCGUUUUACUGGGCCGUAACUGACACUCAGAGACGAAAGCUAGGGUAGCAAAUGGG
rnacentral:rRNA from 1 species